GACGAACGCUGGCGGCGUGCUUAACACAUGCAAGUCGAACGGUAAGGCCCCUUCGGGGGUCCACGAGUGGCGAACGGGUGUGUAACACGUGAGCAACCUGCCCUUGACUUUGGGAUACCAGCUGGAAACAGCUGCUAAUACCGGAUAUGACCUCUUCUCUCAUGGGUUGAGGUGGAAAGCUCCGGCGGUCAGGGAUGGGCUCGCGGCCUAUCAGCUUGUUGGUGAGGUAAUGGCUCACCAAGGCUUCGACGGGUAGCCGGCCUGAGAGGGCGACCGGCCACACUGGGACUGAGAUACGGCCCAGACUCCUACGGGAGGCAGCAGUGGGGAAUAUUGCACAAUGGGCGCAAGCCUGAUGCAGCAACGCCGCGUGCGGGAUGACGGCCUUCGGGUUGUAAACCGCUUUCAGUAGGGACGAAGCUAACGUGACGGUACCUACAGAAGAAGGACCGGCUAACUACGUG
rnacentral:rRNA from 1 species